GAUGAACGCUAGCGGGAGGCUUAAUACAUGCAAGUCGAACGGUAACAGCAGAGCUUGCUCUGGCUGACGAGUGGCGAACGGGUGAGUAACGCGUACAUAACCUACCUUUUACUAGGGAAUAGCCUCGGGAAACUGAGAAUAAUACCCUAUAGUAUCUACAUUUUUCAUGAUAAGUAGAUUAAAGUUUCGGCGGUAAAAGAUGGAUGUGCGUCUGAUUAGCUAGUUGGUAAGGUAACGGCUUACCAAGGCAACGAUCAGUAGGGGGCGUGAGAGCGUGAUCCCCCACACGGGUACUGAGACACGGACCCGACUCCUACGGGAGGCAGCAGUAAGGAAUAUUGGACAAUGGGCGCAAGCCUGAUCCAGCCAUCCCGCGUGCAGGAUGACGGCCCUCUGGGUUGUAAACUGCUUUUGUGUAGGAAGAACCGCUUCCAUUUAUGGAAGUUUGACGGUACUACAAGAAUAAGCAUCGGCUAACUCCG
rnacentral:rRNA from 1 species